rnacentral:tRNA from 2 species
GGGCCCGUAGCUCAGCCUGGAAGAUCGCUCCCUUGGCAUGGGAGAGGCCCCGGGUUCAAAUCCCGGCGGGUCCA